AAUCCCUAGAUCGCCUCCAUUCCCCAUCGGGCCUGGCUACACCUCCAUCUCCCUCACCCCUCCUUCUCCACCUCCAACCGCCGCCACGGCCAGGCCGGCGUGGUGGUGCGCCUCCGCAGCCCCUCCAUCUACCAUACCACUAGCACCCAGCGCCAUCCAUUCACCAGCACCAACAUCAGCAUCCACCACUCACCACCAUCUCCAGCCACUGCCGCACCUCGCGCGGACGUCCAGACACAGGGGUUGCGGGCGUCUGAUCCCCCGCGCGCCUCCACCUGCUUGCUCUGCCUGCUGAUCCUCUUUGCUGCUGCUCCUUUUCAUGCGCCCCUACUGCUGCAGCCUCUUCUUCCCGCCGCUGCUUGCUGCCUUCUCUUUCAAUCCCUUUUGCAGCUGCUCUUCUUCUACUGCGCCCCCUGCUGCUCUCUCAACGCUGCUGCUCCUUCUCCAUCUCCCAACUGCAUGCUGCGCCUCUGCUGAAGCCUUCUCUGAACUCCCUGCUGCUGCUUCUCUUCCUUACCUCCGCUGCUGCUGCUGCUCUCUCUCUCUCAACCUUCUCUGAACCUGCUGCUGAACCCCACGCUCCUGCUGCUCUUCUUCACCAACUGAAGUUGCUGUUGCUUUCUCUCUCUCUUUCUCUCUGUAAUUCAUAAGAAAUAGUACUGUACAAUUAUGUGACUGUUUUAGACUUGUGCUUGUGAGGUGUUCUUUUGUUGAUGUGUAAGAACUAGCUAUAUAUGUCAUAUAUAUUCUGUACUUGCUGAUGAUUGGUCUCCAGUUUAUUGUUCUUGUGAUAUAAAUACAUACGUGUGUGUGUUUGAUGUGAAACAAUUAUAUAUAUGUGGCCUAUUUGUCAGUUAGUGGUUUGUAUAAAUUCAGAUUACUUCUAGUGAUUUUAUUCCGUAUUGAAAUUGCUCUCUGUGGUAGUCAGUUGUGUGAUCAUUUAAUUUUCAGGCUCUGUUAUAGCUUUGUCCGUAUGAUAAAUAUGUUUGUGAUGUGAAACAUAUCUGUCUAUGUCUUAUAAUCUUGUUUUUUCCCUCUUUUGCUUGUCAUUUCCAGUACUAGUUCAUGUUGUGUUGUUUCCUUUUGUGUUAGUGAUUUAGUGUCUUAAGUAAAACAAGAAAAUGCCAAAAAGACAGUGAUUGCAUUCUUAUCUCUCCUAUAUGCUUGUUUGCACCUUCUUUGUCGAUGAUUUUCCGAAAUAUGAUAGUUUAGGUUUAUUUCCCUGCAAUCAUCAUUUCAAUUGUGUUACCUAGAUUUAGCCGAGCAUAGCCGCUGAUUUGCCUAGUCCCUGUGGAGAACACGACAUUCGUAGUUUGGGCGUAAAACCCCACUAUACUUACAACUGAUCACAGCCGCUCAUCGUCCACAACUUUAUUAAUCUCUACUCCUAAUGUAUGAGUUGGUUGAAUAGUAUGGUUUUUUUCGUCCCAUCACUUUCAAUUGUUUUAUUUUGCUGGUUUUUUUUCGUCCCACCUCCCACCGCCAUAUCCUCAUGUUGAUUUUUUUACCAUCCCAACAAAAACUUUUCUAACCUUUUCAAACUUUCCUAACUAGAUAUGUUACAAAUAGGCAGGAUCCGAUAGCACUUACCAAACAAUAAAUUUUAGUUUCAUAGCAAUCAAUUCCAAAUCUUAACUUUCCUAAUUUAUCGAUCCUCGCCUUUUCUAACAACAAAUAUCUCUCUUCGAGUUGGUAGUUCGAUACGCAUGAUUUUUUCAGCCUCCACCUCCCACCACCACCUCAUCGUUGGUUUUCUCUCCCAUGAAACCGAAUCGCAUGACCCUUCCCAUCCUAUGUCGCUCGACCCUCUAUCUUCUUCUAGGUUCACCGCCACCGCGUGCCCCACCAAAAUCGCUUGAGUGAAGAUCAAUCCAUCCAGAUUGGAUUGAUCUGUCGGUGACGAACCCUGCCUAGAUUGGAUUAGUUCGGGUGUGAGAGGCCACCGGACGUGGUGACUGUGUGCGAGCGCUCUAAUCGAAUCGAAUCCCGCCACCGGUCUCGUCCACGUAGCCAUGGCCGAUGAUCACUUAUGUUGUGGCUGCGUCCCUCUUCGGACGGUGAUGAUGUUAGAGGGAGCCGCUGGCGCUGGCUAGGCUCCCGAGUCCCGACCGAUCGCGUCGGCUCGCUGCUCCUCACUCAGUAGUUGCCAAGGAGGCUCGGGAAGAUAAAGGAGAAGGAGACUAACGGCGUGCGGCACAUGAAGGGCCCAAGGAGUAAGUGACAGGAUUCUGUUCCGGCCUUCUCUCUAACUCACCAAGGUAAUCAAUCUCAUGCUGAAUCUUUUGGUGCUAUUCUGUUCUUGCUAGGUAGUAGAAAAUGGAACAUUGUCAGACAUAUUUUGACAGCUAUAGACUUUCCGUUGUUGAUUCUUUUUAGUUCUAUACGAAGAAUGAAUUAAUUGUAUUGCGAUGUAUAUUGUUGUAUAUGACAAGAUGAAUCAAUUGGCGGCACUUAUGUAUCUGUGAAUGAUGUCAUGGACCAUUUGCAGGUCGUCCGCACUAGGGUGUUUGGUCAAGAUGGUGUUACUGCAGGUGGACGAUGUGCUCGAGCACCUGGAGAGUGUUGAGAAAUGACUUGUGCACCUUGAGGAAGGAGCGGUUAGACCGUGCAUGGGAAGGAAUCAACAUGUGUAGGUGGAAAGAGGGGGGAUUCAUAUUGGGCCAUGUUUGCAAGGAGACCAUCCAGGACAAACAAUCAGGAAGGGAAGUAUAGAUAUUGAAAAGAGAGCUCGGACAUGGUGUCGAGAAUGGAAAGGAGGGGUAGAAUUAUUAUUUUUCUUCUAAAUAGAGUGUGGUUAAAGAGACACGACAAUUAUUGAUAGAGAGAAAAAGCCGAAAAAUGAGUUUGUUGUUAUACGGAUGGAAAGCAUAUCACAUCAUGGAAAGCAUAUUUCACAAUGCUUGACAUAUUAUUUUAUGAAAUAGAACAAUUGUUUUAUCA